rnacentral:lncRNA from 10 species
CAGGGGCCUGGCGGUGUUUUCCAGGCGUCAGCCCUUGAAAUGGCAACAGGAGCGGGAGGCUCGGCCUCUCGGUGGCGCUGUGUCCGGGAGGGACGCGGGGGCCGCUGCCCGCUCGCCCGGGGCCCCGGCAGCUCCGGCGCCUGACGUCGUAGGGGCCGACGAGGCAGCGCGCACGCCCCAAACUGCCAUCGUCAAACGCUCCCGGGGCCCUCCAUCCACGGGAAUGAGACGCGGAAAGGGAGAUAAUUCGGCUUCUCUCUCUCCUCCAACCGCCCCCCUCCUAAAGCCCCAAGCACAAAGCCGAGAGCGGCCCGCCUUCCCCUCGCAGAAGGCCGCCGAGCUGCUGCGAACCAGCCGCGGGCCACGGCGCCCCCCGCCCUCCAGCCUUCUCCACUGUUUAUUUUGUUGUCAGCGGACUUAUCAAGAUGUUAGUUUGCUGGAGGUUCUGACCUGCCCGGGCGCUUUGGCUGCUCGGCCCGGGCUUUCCCCUCUGUUUUUACACCUGCAUAAACUCCACCGCACUCCCCUGUCUGAUUUAUAGCCCAAUUAAAGGUUCAGUGUUCUCCAAGCCACCCGGGCUGCUCCCUUCCCCGCCUCCCGCCGGCUGUGGCGAGCGCAGGAAUGCGCGAGGCCGCGCCUAAGGCCGGGCCGCGGCCGAGGCGGUUCUGCGCCCAGCGACCCUCAGGAGCGGCGGCGCGAAUGAACGGCCUGCGCCCGGAGAAGGGCAGAGAAACCUCGGGCACAUCACCCAACAGCCGCGAGCAGAAAGGCCGCGUCCCCAGCCCAGAGUGAUUUCCUUCCUGGGGUUUCGGCCUGAGUGGGACGAGGCGCUCCCCCGACAGCAUGCGAGGCCGGGACGGGAGGGCGCUGGGAGCUGCCACGUGGCGCAGCCCGACGCGGAGGCCAGGGGUCCGGCCGCUACGCCGCGCCUCCCCACGAUUUUCCGGGGCCAGGAACAGAAUGAAGAUCAGUGCAGCAUCAGUCAAGCAACGACCAACACUAAACAGCAGAAUAGAGCGUCAUGCAGUAGCAAGCGAUUGCUUUACUUCAAAAAGGGAGCCAGACUCAGAGCAGAGCAGCCUGAGGAGCAUUCUCACUAAACAAACAUGUCUCCAGAACUGCAGUGCUCUGUAUCUCCAGGCUCCAAAAUAUGCUAUCAGAAUGAAAACAUUUGGUGGAUUCUAGAUGAAGCAAGCUGCAUUAAAUAGUUGGUUUUUAACUUCCUUUAAAUAUUGGAACAAAAGAGCUGCUUUCAAUCACCACCCCCCAAACAACUCUCCACAACUUCCUGGUGAUAAACAACAUCUGUAUAAAUAAAAAGGUAGGUUUGCAAGCCAGGCGUUGUGGCUCACACCUGUAGUCCCAGCUACUCAGGAGGGUGAGGUAGGAGGAUGGCUUGAGCCCAGGCAUUCAAGGCUGCAGUGAGCUAUGAUCAUUGCCUCUGCACUCCAACCUGAGUGACAGAGUGAGACCCUGUUUUUUUGUUUUGUUUUGUUUUUUGUUUUUUUUUUAAAAAAAGGUAGGUUUGCAACUCUGCCUGGGGGUUGCCAACUGAAAUUCUCUUGGGCCAGAAUGGGCAAAGGAAUUCUCAAAACACUUUUUUUCCCCAUGAGAAACAUCCUACUUAGAAUCCCUUGGUGUAUCAGACAUGAAUAGGUAGGCUGGUGUUAGCUGAUUCACAGAGAAAAAAGAUGUCUAAAAUAACCCAAUUCAUUGCUAGAUUCAAGGAACCUGAUAAGAAUUAGCUCUUUCUGAUGGACUGCUUACUCACUACGGUUUGAAGAGGUGGCAGGGAUUUUACUGGGAAAGAGGAACCAAGUGUUUAGAAAAUACAGCUCAAGCUCUUUUAUAAAAGAAACAUUCCAGAUUUUCUCAAGUGUCUGGUGAGGGUGUGGAAGGGUGAGGCAUCAGAUACUUUCCAUGUGCAGGUCAAGUAGAGAGAAGGGCAGUGUGGAAAUGCAAGAAAACAAACUUAAGAAAUUUAUCUUGGCAGGAUUUUUACAUCAUAACAUCUUGGAGCUGAAAAACACUCUGAAACUCCACUCACAUUUUAUAAAUGAGAAAACUUAAGUCCAAGGAGAUUGUUAAUUACUUGAGGCCACUUGGCCAGUUAGAAACAACCAGGUCACUAACCUCCAAGUGUAGUCUUCUUUCAUAAAAUGUGCCACCUGCGUAAGUGCUAAGUGGGGAGAGGCUCUGGGAAGAGGAAGGUGGUCUCUGUUAAACACUGAGGCAUGGUAACAUUCACUUCGGGUGUCUUGGUGGCUCAAAGUGCAGAUCCUGGGACUGAGUUUCCGAGCUGGCUUGGGGUUUUGGUUGCUGCAGAAGCUAAGGAGGACUCAUGCCAAGCACCUUUCUCAAAUCGCUCCACAUCAUGACCGCAAGGGCAGACAGCAAAAGGAAAGAGAGCUGAUGGCCCUGAGCCACCCUGAAAGGCUAGGUCUCCAUACCCACAGAAGCAAUAGCAGCCACAGUGAUCCUAACAGAGGUGCAGACUACUUUCUCUGAGUUCCAUUUCUGACAACUGGA